CUGCUUCCUAGGGAGGGAGGCUGGGGCGGCAAGGCGGGCGCGGGUGGUCCUUGCCCCGCGCCAGCUCGCCAGGCCACGUCGCUGGCGUUUUUCCAGCGCUGGGUCACCUGCGGGCCGGCGGGUUCCCGCGGCGAACAGCUGGGUGGUAUGGAUACGCCGCUCGAGCCUCCGCAGCGUCAGGUCGCCAGGGUCCGCCCUGCCACUCGCCCCACCUUGAGCUACCUCUGAAGAAAAGAUGAUGGCCCGGUGCGGUGGCUCACGCCUGUAAUCCCAGCACUUUGGGAGGCCGAGUCAGGCGGAUCACCUGAGCAGUGUAAAGAAAGUCUGAAGAAUACUCCAGGAAAAUUGAGGAAACUAAAGCUAUUUCUACUACUGGUCUCAUAAUUGCAAAGCCAGUGCCUACCAUGAUAAGUGCUCUCUUACUUGGUAUGAAGGAAAUGAUUUUCUUCCCUUGCUAUUUUUUUUAGAAGAAGACGUAUAAGCCUUUAAGCUUAGUAAACCUUUGGGUUCUGUGCAUUUGGCCAUCAUUCCAGUUGUCAGCAUUGUGCAGGACAGGUACUUGAGGUCUGUUUUUGUGAACCAGGGACCCGAGGCACAGAGCAAGUAAGUGGAUAGAAACAAAUGCUGUAAGAACAAAUAAUUGUAUUUAAAAAUUUAUGAUUUUCAUUUAUUUUUCAGAGGAAGCAUUAAUGAGUAGGUAGUAAUUUCUGGGUAUUAAAAAACCAUCAGAGACAUUUCUUUUUCCUUAUAAAAGAAGUCAUAACAGUGAACAUUUAUAGCACUUAGCUUACUAAGGGUUUCACGUCCUAUAAUCCCCAGCACUUUAGCAGGCUGAGAGGGGAGGACUGCUUGAGGCCAGGAGUUCAAGACCAGCCUGGGUAACAUAGCAAGACCCUGUCUCUAUUUAGAAAAAUAAUAAAAACAAAGGGUUUCACAUGUAUUUUAGAAAUUAGACCUUCCGAAGUUGUGAGAUUUGUAAUAAUGUUCAUUUUAGAGACUAGAAAACUAAGCCUCAUGAAGGCCAUGUGACUUGUCCACCAUUGCACCAGUGCUGAGUGGCAGAUCUCUGGUCUGGAAGCCACGUUCUUCUCACUAUACCAUGUUGCCAUUUUUCAGCAACUGGUGCACGAUGCAUAUUCUCCAAGACAGAAGGGAAGGAGGCUUGAUUAAUUGUGGCUCAGCCUUUCCUCAUAGUUUUGGGGCUGUAAGACCUGUGCAUUGUAAGUGAACCAUAAGGUCUGUUUGCCUCAGAGCAGGUUAGUUCACACCGUGCUGCUGCUGCUUUUAAGCAAUGCAGGAUGAACGGAGCUUGGGAGCAAUUUUCUCUCACUCCCAUGGUGGCAUCUCUUCAGUUCACUUUCUUUGUACUGCUCCUCUUAGGUUUAUGGCCGUGCAGUUGUCAGUGCUCCUGUCAGUCUUUCCAACCUUCCCUCUAAAUUCCUGGCACCAGCAGUUGGCCUAGAACAUGCUGAUCUUCAGCACCCUGACAGAAAAGGCUGCUAUCACAGUGGAAAGUGUGGCUUCCUGGGCUGCCUCUUGGCAAAGGGCUCUAGCUUGUCCAGAUUUGGGUCAGCCCCAGGGUCUAUCAGUUCCAGGAGAGGUGUUGAAGGGCUGUGACAAAUGCCUGCCCUGGCAGAUGGAGGAAGCUCUGGCUAGCUUGAGAGCGCAGUGUAAUAACAGCUGCCCUGAGAAGGGACUUCCAGCCAUUCUUGUGCUCUGAGAUUGUGUCCGGAAUUGGUGGGUUCUUGGUCUCACUGACUUCAAGAAUGAAGCCGCAGACAC
rnacentral:lncRNA from 1 species